rnacentral:lncRNA from 1 species
GGCUGUCCCUCUUGACAGCCAUGGCAAAGUCUAGCCAUGUCCAUGUGUUGUUGUGGUACUCCAGACAGGGCAGCACAAGGUUAAGGUCACCCCAAUCCACACUAUUCUUCUCACCCUGCAAGAGAAGGAGGGAGAGGGGAGAGAAAAGAAGAGCGAAAAGAUCAGCUGCCAUUUUUAGUCCAAAGCUAAUACUUUUUUAAUGUAUGUGCUGCUGAAGUGAACACACAGUCCAAUCUAAUACUUGAGUCCCAAGUCUAGCACUUUCCUGCAGCAGCAAUCUAAAGAUACUGAUUUCCCUUUACCUCAUCCUGUAACAGUACUGACUCCUGAAGGCAGCAGAGGGAACAGCAGAUUAUUACCCAAAGACCAUCUUCACAAUUUAGACUGUCGUGCCUAAUUUUAAUCUCUGAUCUUAUCUGGUUCUCUUCCCGCCCUGUUCUAGAAAGUACUAGGGAGGAGCAGACCUUGUAGCUGACACAGAGAGGAACCUGUGGAAUCUUUAUGUAGAUGAAGGAGUUGUUCAUGGCAGCUCGCUCUUUCAUCUUGUCAAUAUCAUCCACAGGGUGCUAGGAAAGGCAGGAAACGAAUAUGAGUUCUUGAAACCAUCAGAAGAAACUUAGAACCCCAAACAUCUCCAUCUCCUUUCAUCCCUGGAAAAGACUCAGGAAACAGAAGAAAUCUUCAGCUGACCCAAACAGAACCCUAGGAUUCUUCCAUCUUUCUGUCAUUAGGGGCAUGUCUGGUACCUCAGGUACUUUCCGAAAUGAUCUUCUGACACCAGAACUCCGAUUUAAGCCUUGUGCAACACCCUUCCCAGGGCCCAGUGGUGCUGCAUCAUCUGUUGCAAUCAGCUGCCGAGGCUUAACCACUGGUAUUCCUAUGAAAAAGCAAGCACACCAGCUGUUGUCCUCUUUCUGAAGCUUCAGCUAUCUCUGAGGCUGCUACCCCAGUCUUCCGGAUCUCCACCAUAAAAGUUCUCACCAGUAGUCACCAGUUUGGACUUAUCUUCUUCAUCACCAACCUCAUCAUCUUCUACGCUUCGGCCAGGAAAGAAAAAGCCCAUUAUUCUAUGGAAGAACUGGUGUGUCAGCUGGAUGGUGAGAGGCACCACAUUUACCUAAAGAGGAAAAAGGCUGAAGAAGCAAUUAAGCUCAGACAUCAUCCCUCAGUUUACCUACCCCUAAUGUAACAUUGACACACAGAUAGCUUUUGAGUGCCCUUUGUUCCUGGGUCCCCAAAGGACUGUUUACUAACCUCAAAGUGUUCCUUAACAGAAAUACCCCCAACAGGGGGCCGGACUUUGCUGAAAAGGCGGAGGGCUAGCUGUCGCCCAGAUUGGCAGGAGCUCUGGGGCCGUAGGACUACCUGUAAGAUAAAGAGUGAUAAAUCUACCCACAAAUCCCUGCAGACUAAGAGGAA